rnacentral:rRNA from 1 species
UACGAAGGGGGCUAGCGUUGCUCGGAAUUACUGGGCGUAAAGCGCGCGUAGGCGGCUUUGCAAGUCGGGUGUGAAAUCCCCAGGCUUAACCUGGGAACUGCAUUCGAGACUGCAUUGCUAGAGUAUGGGAGAGGGCAGUGGAAUUUCCGGUGUAGCGGUGAAAUGCGUAGAUAUCGGGAGGAACACCAGUGGCGAAGGCGACUUCCUGGCCUGUUCUUGACGCUGAGGCGCGAAAGCUAGGGGAGCAAACGGG